CCUACGGGAGGCAGCAGUGGGGAAUAUUGCUCAAUGGGGGAAACCCUGAAGCAGCAACGCCGCGUGGAGGAUGAAGGUUUUCGGAUUGUAAACUCCUUUUGUUAGAGAAGAUAAUGACAGUAUCUAACGAAUAAGCACCGGCUAACUCCGUGCCAGCAGCCGCGGUAAUACGGAGGGUGCAAGCGUUACUCGGAAUCACUGGGCGUAAAGAGAGCGUAGGCGGGAUAGCAAGUCAGAUGUGAAAUCCUAUGGCUUAACCAUAGAACUGCAUUUGAAACUGUUAUUCUAGAGUAUGGGAGAGGUAGGUGGAAUUCUUGGUGUAGGGGUAAAAUCCGUAGAGAUCAAGAGGAAUACUCAUUGCGAAGGCGACCUGCUAGAACAUAACUGACGCUGAUGCGCGAAAGCGUGGGGAGCAAACAGGAUUAGAUACCCUAGUAGUC
rnacentral:rRNA from 1 species